rnacentral:rRNA from 1 species
AACGAACGCUGGCGGCAUGCCUAACACAUGCAAGUCGAACGAGACCUUCGGGUCUAGUGGCGCACGGGUGCGUAACGCGUGGGAACCUGCCCUUAGGUUCGGAAUAACUCCCCGAAAGGGGUGCUAAUACCGGAUAAUGUCUUCGGACCAAAGAUUUAUCGCCUUUGGAUGGGCCCGCGUUGGAUUAGCUAGUUGGUAGGGUAAAAGCCUACCAAGGCGACGAUCCAUAGCUGGUCUGAGAGGAUGAUCAGCCACACUGGGACUGAGACACGGCCCAGACUCCUACGGGAGGCAGCAGUGGGGAAUAUUGGACAAUGGGCGAAAGCCUGAUCCAGCAAUGCCGCGUGAGUGAUGAAGGCCUUAGGGUUGUAAAGCUCUUUUACCCGGGAUGAUAAUGACGGUACCGGGAGAAUAAGCUCCGGCUAACCCCGUG